ACCCACCAGACUCCUUCCCCCUCAGAUCUAAACAUCGGUCUGAGUGACUGAAAGAAGGAAACAUAUAAUGGAAGUGGACUUAGAUUCGUUAGUGACAUACGAGUUCAUUUAAAACAUAU
rnacentral:snoRNA from 1 species